CUCUCUGACGUCUUUAUUAAAGAAAAUACGGUUAAGAGCCUUACAAGACCUGGGACUUCAACCUGACCCAUGUCCCCUGGCUCUUGUAGCACUUGGGCACAGUGUUUUUCUGAGUGUUGGUGUAGAGUCUAUGUAAGCUCUGUUUCUUUUAAUUUGUUUUAGAAUUAUGUUUGUGUGUUUUUGUGUGUGAAUAUGAGCGCAGUGCCCGAGGAGGACAGAAGAUUUCCUGGAGCUGGAGUCAGAGGUGACUGUGAACUCCUUAAGCUGGUGACGUUGGCCAAUACAUUGUCAGAAUGUACAUAAAGAAUGUGAGAAGCCCAGGACCAACACAACCAAGAUUCAGCACCUGUUACUCCAUGCGAUCCUGUAACACAGACACAGAUGGACUGUUCUGGAGAAACAACGCGCUAAGGAAAAUGAGGAUGAGGUUUCAGAACAUCUUAAACUUUUGGCAGAGAGAAUGAAGGGAAACCUGGGGGAAAAUGCCAGGAAGAGACCCACGAGAGAUGCAGGCUGUGUUCUCUGAGAGUUUCUACUUAAUGUAAGCCUCUUGAAAGUAACACAUAAAUGAUCAGACCCUUAUUGGGACAGCUAGAUGACUCAGUGGGUGAAGUCACUUGCCUCCAGGUGUGUCAUCCCCGAGUGCCGUCCCUGGAUUACAUGGUGGAAGAAGAGAACAGACUACAGCUAGUUGUCCUGUGGCUUGCAUACAUGAGCUGUGGUUCUCUCACACGCGCAUGCACACACAAUAAAUAAAUGGAUUUAUGCCACCUUAAAAUUAAAAACAAAUAGAAACAUGUUUAUUAAACACCA